AAUAUCUCUGUAAUUCAUAACCUUUCAAAACAUACGAUUUUCUAAACAGUCAGUUGCCCGCUCAAAUGUUUUCAAACUAUUGGUAACUUUCUAAAAUUCAUGAAAAUAUGCACAUUUAAUGCGGAAGAAAUAUUCAUAAUCUCUGAAUAUUCCACUCGAGUAGUUUCUAAGCGACGAAAAUGCCAUAAUUAUGUGGAUUCUACAUGGUACAGUCUAAUAUGACAGAGGAAACAAUCAUGGCAGUUGUUCUCUUGUGCCCUCUUCUAUAAAUGAACAGAAUGCAUUAAUGUAAAUUUGACAAGUGUUCGGUGUCAAAGCAUCGGGAAUACCAGUAGUAAAAAUUUAAAUCAACGAUCUAUAAUACCAGAAAGUUUCUGUUGGGUUCUUUGGUUUUUCACAGAUCAAUGGGAAGUGCAACGUCAUAGAAAUCAUCAACGAAACAAAAUCGCCUACAGUUGUUGGAUCUGUUGUCUGUAAAGAACACUUUAUGCUGUUUACUGGAAACAAUGGUCAAUGCCUGUAUGUACAUCUACUGCCUUUCCUCUUGACAAAAAUACGGAUGGCAGCUGUCUGGAUGGGCACGAAAUUUUUUCCCAGUUUCGUGCGAAGUAAUAUCGGCUGGAUAACAUGACCUAUAUCCAUGCCAUUUUGCUUCAUAAAGGCACUCCGUCACCUACCAGUAGUGUUGCUUUCUGUUCCUUUCACACAGUAGUUCACUGAAGUAAUUCUUUCAGAUGAUGUUGAAGGUAGUGACAAAAUUCAAAGGCAACUACUUCUCGCCAUUUGAAUUACCGGAAUUGAAACAGGGUCAUAUGUGCUCCUGACUAAAGGAUUCGAAGUCAUUGAACGCCUCAGAAUAGUCGGCAUGUGACAAACAUCUGCAUGUAAUUGUCACAAGGGAGCUACUGCAUGGCUGAAGAACAGUUUCCGGUAAUCUAUACCGGCACAAAUGAUGCUGACAUAUUUUAAAUGAACUGAUCAUGGCACAACAGAUGCUGUUAACAAGUGUAUGUCGGAAUUUGAAUUCCUUGCGAAUGAAUCGUGAAUAGAGAUCCAGCAGGUUUAAUCGACAGUUUGAGCUUGGGCUAAUAUUUCAAGCUUUACAAAAUCAUAUCUUUAGGACUGAAAGCUUAUCGAAACGUAAAGGCUAUCUGAAUAUGUAUUGAAAGCGAGAGAAAUGUUUAUGACCUCUGCAUAUUCUGCACAAGUGGUUUUUGAGUGACAAGUGUCGGAAGUAGGCUGAUUUCACAUGAACAUCUUCACACAUAUUUCAAUAAAGGAACAUAAAGAACAAAUGUUAAUUUCAAUGAUUUUUUUUGUAGUUACAGUAGUAAGAGCUUUGAUAAUGCUGCUUUCAACAAUUUUAAUUAUGCCAAAAAGAUUCUUGAUUUCUUCGUUUUUACUCGAUUGAGAUAAAAUGUCAUGUCCAUCAAAACCGAGACGAAAUCGCCUGCAAUUGAUGCUAGAGCAGCGAGCUGUGCAGUGAAUAAAUCUCUCGUCUAUUUGAACAGUGCCAUAACACAAUUCUUAUGUGGAAUGAAUACCUUUUUUUUUGUUCCAGCAACAACUUCUUUCUAUGUGCAGAAGGUAUCUAGAUGGUCAGGAAAGAAAUUACCAAUGCGAUAUCGGUAUUCAUAGAUCGGACAAUUAAUGGCGUUUUCCUGCUUUAAGAACUUGCUUCACCAUCAAUAAUACGCCUUUCAAGAUUCCAAACACACUCCUACAAUAUACAUCAUUUUUACUUGAUGCGGGGAGGAUAUUCCCUUAAGAUGAGUUCGAAGUACAUGGAAU